GCAGUGGGGAAUUUUGGACAAUGGCGAAAGCCUGAUCUAGCAAUGCCGCGUGUGUGAAGAAGGCCUUCGGGUUGUAAAGCACUUUUGUCCGGAAAGAAAUCCUUGGCUCUAAUACAGUCGGGGGAUGACGGUACCGGAAGAAUAGGCACCGGCUAACUACGUGCCAGCAGCCGCGGUAAUACGUAGGGUGCGAGCGUUAAUCGGAAUUACUGGGCGUAAAGCGUGCGCAGGCGGUUUGCUAAGACCGAUGUGAAAUCCCCGGGCUCAACCUGGGAACUGCAUUGGUGACUGGCAGGCUAGAGUAUGGCAGAGGGGGGUAGAAUUCCACGUGUAGCAGUGAAAUGCGUAGAGAUGUGGAGGAAUACCGAUGGCGAAGGCAGCCCCCUGGGCCAAUACUGACGCUCAUGCACGAAAGCGUGGGGAGCAAACAGGAUUAGAUACCCUGGUAGUCCACGCCCUAAACGAUGUCAACUAGUUGUUGGGGAUUCAUUUCCUUAGUAACGUAGCUAACGCGUGAAGUUGACCGCCUGGGGAGUACGGUCGCAAGAUUAAAACUCAAAGGAAUUGACGGGGACCCGCACAAGCGGUGGAUGAUGUGGAUUAAUUCGAUGCAACGCGAAAAACCUUACCUACCCUUGACACGGUCGGAAUCCCGCUGAGAGGUGGGAGUGCUCGAAAGAGAACCGGCGCACAGGUGCUGCAUGGCUGUCGUCAGCUCGUGUCGUGAGAUGUUGGGUUAAGUCCCGCAACGAGCGCAACCCUUGUCCUUAGUUGCUACGCAAGAGCACUCUAAGGAGACUGCCGGUGACAAACCGGAGGAAGGUGGGGAUGACGUCAAGUCCUCAUGGCCCUUAUGGGUAGGGCUUCACACGUCAUACAAUGGUCGGAACAGAGGGUUGCCAACCCGCGAGGGGGAGCUAAUCCCAGAAAACCGAUCGUAGUCCGGAUUGCACUCUGCAACUCGAGUGCAUGAAGCUGGAAUCGCUAGUAAUCGCGGAUCAGCAUGCCGCGGUGAGUACGUUCCCGGGCCUUGUACACACC
rnacentral:rRNA from 1 species